UGAUGAACAUUUUAUCUUUCACAAUGAUG
rnacentral:piRNA from 1 species